UUUCAUUUUUUUAUUUGAAAAAUUAUGCAAAUGCCAUAAUGUCCAUUGGCCAUAAAUGUCAUAUCUGUAAUAAUUAUUCGGCUUUGAUGCUUUUACCAAAACAAUUAAUCCGUAUUGUUUUUCUUCACAGCAUACGAUGCAAAUUUUCCUCUUUCAUUAAAGAAAACGAAUCCUUUUACUGUGGCCAUUUUCCAUCUUAUUUACCAUUCGUAUCGAAUCUGCUGUGCCCGUUUCACCCUAAAUUGUCAUUGAUGGUGCUAAGAAACGCUGUUUUGAUUUUUUAUGUUUAAUCUGUAUACAUCAUUAACUCCAUAGUUGUCUUCGUUUUUUUUUUGUAUGCGCAUAAAGAGAAGCGAGCAUCAAUAGUUAAAAUCAGUCUGGCUUCGAUUUUAGUGUCAAUGGUGGUGAAUAAGAUGUCAGACUGUCUUUCGACAACUAAAAAUUCUCGAUAGCAAACGCUCAAUCAUCAUAAUUUUCACGCGUUUUUGGCUUACAGACAUUAGUGAAGUAAUUUGCAGCCGUUCUUGCAUAAGUCGUUAUAUCAAGAUUCAAGAUCUGGGCCCAUAACCUGUUAAGAAAAGACAGAACACGUGUCCAGCUUUUGGUAGAAACUAUUCUUCAUGGGUUUCUUUGUUAGACGCUUCGUCUGUACCGUGUAGAGAGCGCCAUUAUGCGGAAUACAAUAGGAAGAUUUAACGUUUACGAUUUACUUUGACACCGAUACCAGCCUACUGUUAAAAACUAACCAACAUGGUUUUAAAGAAUUAAUUGUUAUUUUAUUGUCCCUACCAAAUUUAUGGCGGAAAAUUGGAAAGAACCUCCAGACUGAUUUUCGAUAGUUCGGGCUACAUUUUCCACCGGGAUGACUGUGUUUGCUUCUAUUUAACGCGUCAAUCACAAUCGGUAUCUACCGCUAGUUUGUAAAUGAAUUCCAUGGGCGCUAGUAGAUUGCUGAUAAGUUUUAUUAGGUCCACCCAUUGGUGAUGCCGGGGCAGGUGGAUUAAAAUGGAAAUUCAGGACCGGGAAACUAUCCAAUACCUGGGACGGACGGCCAGCUUUCCUCUUUGGAAUAUUCGUAGCCAUUCGAAAUUACUGUUCAAUUUUCCUAUUUUACCCAUUAUCUUUCAGGUCUUCGCGCCAUAGACGAUCUGUCCACUAACACUUUACAGACCAGCAGCGGAAAUU
rnacentral:lncRNA from 1 species